AUUCUAGAAGGAUCAACGGCUGUAACUGACAGGUUCCAACUUCUAUGCUUAUCAACAUAGAUCAAGCUGAGAACCCAGAGGAACAAACGAGGCUCAUGAACCAGAGACCUGAGCUGAUUUCUUGGUUAUUCUAGAUUGCUCUUUGGGAGAUUUCAGUCCAUGGUAUGGGGACAGUGCAAUGGGCUGGACGUUUGUGCCAACUUCAUACAUUGGAACUCUGCCUGUGUGGCUCUGCCUGGAGAUGGGGACUUUGGGAAGCAUUUGGAUCAGACAAUAGUGCUCCCCUGUAGAGAUGGGGCCCUUGUAAGAAGAGAAGAGAUGACUCGUUUCCUCUCAGAAUCUGGUGCCAUAUAAGGACACAGCAAGAAUCCAAGAAUCUGUGCCCACUGAAAUCUCUCUGAAAUCCCACCACCUAUCACUGUAAGAUCAGUCGCCCCAGCCUUCAGAAUGCGCCCUUCAGGUAAAUCACAUGUCCUGAGUGUCCUGGCCACUGUCACAGACUCCACAGACCAAUGGACCCUGCGAUCCCUAUGUUUUGUUGACCCAGUAAGAUCCCAGCUACUCUUGAUGGAAGCCAGUGGUGAUAAAAGUGAAUUCAGCUUCUUUGGUUUCGUUUGGUUUCCUGUCCUACUGUGAAGCAUCGAGAAGGCCAUUACUAGAGAACAGACUUCGAGGACUCCAGAAUCACAAGCUAAGACCACGGCUGUCUUCUUCUGGAGGCAGAUAGGAAGAAGAAGUUCAAGGUCUGAUCUGUCAUCUAACACCCUUGGCAAACCUCUCCCAAGAGGGAUCCCUAAAGAAAUGCUGCUCCUUUCUCUGAGUCACUGAAGACAUUUGGGGAUAAUUGGAUACCCAGCUUUGGGGCACCAAGUGGGCAGCUGGUGUUCACCUCCCCGAGGACCAUGCCAAGCUGGCAGGAAUCUGGUUCAUUGCUCUGUAAGUGAUUGCAGUGGGAGAGGAAAGAACAUGCCAUUCGCUCCAUUUGUUAAA
rnacentral:lncRNA from 1 species